rnacentral:rRNA from 1 species
UUCUGCCCUAUCAACUUGUUGGUAAGGUCGUGGCUUACCAAGGUUGCAACGGGUAACGGGGAAUCAGGGUUCGAUUCCGGAGAGGGAGCCUGAGAAAUGGCUACCACAUCCAAGGGAGGCAACAGGCGCGCAAAUUACCCAAUCCAGACACUGGGAGGUGGCUACGAAAAAUACUGGGCCGUUUCCCUAUGGGAUGCGGCACCGGAAUGAGCACAAUUUAAGACAUUUGUCGAGUAACAACUGGAGGGCAAGUCUGGUGCCAGCAGCCGCGGUAAUUCCAGCUCCAGCAGCGAGUGUGAAUGUUGCUGCAGUUAAAACGCUCGUAGUUGAAUGACGCGUUGUGGGGCGCCAGGGCAGACGUACUAUGCAAUUAAAACUGUCUGCGUGAGGUGCUCGCCCGAACUACGUUCGGAGAAGGGUCCACAUGCAGGCGGUGCGGUGUCUGUUCUGCCUUGGAGCGCGGUCCACGACGGAUUAUCGUGAGAAUGGCGUAUGGCCUUAACUGGUUGUGCGUCGUGUCUCGCGGAUUGUGCCUUGAGUAAAUCAGAGUGCUCAGAGCAGGCAGCGGCCUGAAUGUGAUAGCAUGGAACGAACAAGUGUGACAGUAGGUGCGGCGGAGGUUUCCGUGAGCUGGCAUUGUUGGCUCGCGGCAAGCUUGCGUCGCACAGCACCAACCACCAAGACGGAUGUUGGUUUCCGUGUUGGGGUGAUGAUUGAGAGGGGCGGUUGGGGGCAUUAGUAUUUGGCCGCGAGAGGUGAAAUUCUUGGACCGGGCAAGGACUAACAAAUGCAAAAGCAUUUGCCAAGACCGUUCCCGUUGAUCAAGAGCGAUAGUGAGAGGUUCGAAGACGAUCAGAUACCGUCCUAGUUCUCACCGUAAACGAUGCCAACCCGGGAUCAGCUUGGAGCUUUUAAUAGAAGUACGCUCGUGGUUGGUCCCCCUGGGAAACCUAAAGUUUUUGGGUUCUGGGGGGAGUAUGGUUGCAAGGCUGAAACUUAAAGGAAUUGACGGAAGGGCACCACCAGGAGUGGAGCCUGCGGCUUAAUUUGACUCAACGCGGGAAAACUUACCCGACCCAAAAAUCGAAAGGAUCGACAGGCUACAGGCCUUUCGUGAUACGGUUAGUGGUGGUGCAUGGCCGUUCUUAGUUCGUGGAGUAAUCUGUCAUGUCGACUCAGGUAACGGACAAGACCUCGAUCUUCACUUGCGGAGUGUGUGCAUUCGAUCCUGCUGCGAGGUAGGAUUGUGGUAAAAAAGCGGAACCGGAAACGUGACUGCCAGAUUCCCACACACCAAACACUGUAUGAGUUAAAAGCUGGUACAGUGUGCGAUGAAGAGACCACCGAGUAUAGAACAAAGUCGGUUGAAGCGAGGCAAUAACAGGUCUGUGAUGCCCUUAGAUGCUCGGGGCUGCACGCGCGCUACAAUGGUGACAACAGCAAGUAUCUGGAUCGAGAGAUCUGGGUAAUCAAUAAUUGUCACCGUGAUGGGGAUUGUGCUAUGCAAUUAUCGCACAUGAAAUCGGAAUGCCUCGUAAUUGCGAUUAAUCAUAUCGCGAUGAAUGCGUCCCUGCCCUUUGUACACACCGCCCGUCGCUACUACCGAGUGAAUCGUGUCAUGAUGCCUUGGGACCGGACGAAUUGCAGGCUCACGUCUGUCGUUUGCUGGGAUCAAGGUAAAAUGGCGCAGUUUCGAGGAAGUAAAAGUCGUAACAAGGUUUCCGUAG